GCGCUCGUAGCUCAAAUGGAUAGAGCACCGGACUUCGAAUCCGUAGGUUGCAGGUUCAAGUCCUGCCGAGCGCACCA
rnacentral:tRNA from 2 species